rnacentral:rRNA from 1 species
UGGCGACCAUAGCGUCUUGGAACCACCUGAUCCCAUCUCGAACUCAGAAGUGAAACGAGACCGCGCCAAUGAUAGUGUGAGGUUUCCUCAUGUGAAAGUAGGUCAUCGCCA